CCUACGGGUGGCUGCAGUGGGGAAUAUUGGACAAUGGGCGAAAGCCUGAUCCAGCCAUGCCGCGUGUGUGAAGAAGGCCUUCGGGUUGUAAAGCACUUUCAGUGGGGAAGAAAGCCUUGGGGCUAAUACCCUCGAGGAAGGACAUCACCCACAGAAGAAGCACCGGCUAACUCCGUGCCAGCAGCCGCGGUAAUACGGAGGGUGCGAGCGUUAAUCGGAAUUACUGGGCGUAAAGCGCGCGUAGGCGGUCUGAUAAGCCGGUUGUGAAAGCCCCGGGCUCAACCUGGGAACGGCAUCCGGAACUGUCAGGCUAGAGUGCAGGAGAGGAAGGUAGAAUUCCCGGUGUAGCGGUGAAAUGCGUAGAGAUCGGGAGGAAUACCAGUGGCGAAGGCGGCCUUCUGGACUGACACUGACGCUGAGGUGUGAAAGCGUGGGUAGCAAACAGGAUUAGAUACCCUGGUAGUC
rnacentral:rRNA from 1 species